rnacentral:misc_RNA from 1 species
GAUCUCUCAACAUAACCAAUUUUGUGUUAUGCUUGGAUCUUGAAGGCUGCUGGCAUCAUUGUCAGCCCCUUUUAAAUAUAUUAGUGGAACUAUGUAGGACCAGCUUCGGUUUGAUAAUAUCUAUGCUGUCGCUUGGGAAUCAUCUGGAUCUGCUUCUAAUUGUCCUUUGGACUGUCUCUCUGAGGCAUAUUUGAC